rnacentral:lncRNA from 1 species
GGUGUGUUUCCUAACACCUCCGGCAGUGAGCCAGGCUUUGAGUGGCUGCGUCUAAACACUUCUUUCCCUGAGGACUGGAAGACAUUAGAAUAAGGUUUGUCAUUGAGUGUGUUCUGUGUGCUUGGAACUGAGAAGGGUGAUGAAGUGCCAGAUAGGAUGGGAAUGGAAGAUAUCGUGGAAGCCAACUAUGAGUUUGCAAGCUUUGCCUUCUUGAGGAUGGAGGAUCGCUGUAGAGGAGGAAACAAAGCUGGAGGGUCACAUACCAGCUCUUCAAUCCUUGGCCUAGAAUUCACACCUGCUAUUCCCACUCCCAGGCCAUUGGCCAGAAGAACUAGUCACAGAGCCAUGCCUGUAUUUAAGCAACAGCGAAAUGUUAAGCAUGUGGGGAGCAGUAUAUGCCUCCGCCACCCUGGCUGAGAGUGUGUGUCAAUAAACCUUCUUGGAUAAA